CGUGCUUAACACAUGCAAGUCGAACGGAAAGCCUCUUCGGAGGUACUCGAGUGGCGAACGGGUGAGUAACACGUGGGUGAUCUGCCCUGGCACUCUGGGGAUAAGCCUGGGCAAACUGGGUCUAAUACCGGAUAGGACCAUGCUUUAGUGUGUGUGGUGGAAAGUUUUUUCGGUGUAGGAUGAGCCCGCGGCCUAUCAGCUUGUUGGUGGGGUAAUGGCCUACCAAGGCGGCGACGGGUAGCCGGACUGAGAGGUUGGUCGGCCACAUUGGGACUGAGAUACGGCCCAGACUCCUACGGGAGGCAGCAGUGGGGAAUAUUGCACAAUGGGCGCAAGCCUGAUGCAGCGACGCCGCGUGGGGGAUGUCGGCCUUCGGGUUGUAAACUCCUUUCGCCAGGGACGAAGCGUUUUGUGACGGUACCUGGAGAUGAAGCACCGGCCAACUACGUGCCAGCAGCCGCGGUGAUACGUAGGGUGCAAGCGUUGUCCGGAAUUACUGGGCGUAAAGAGCUCGUAGGUGGUUUGUCACGUUGUCUGUGAAAUUCCACAGCUUAACUGUGGGCGUGCAGGCGAUACGGGCUGACUUGAGUACUGUAGGGGUAACUGGAAUUCCUGGUGUAGCGGUGAAAUGCGCAGAUAUCAGGAGGUACACCGAUGGCGAAGGCAGGUUACU
rnacentral:rRNA from 1 species